rnacentral:rRNA from 1 species
CCUACGGGAGGCAGCAGUGAGGAAUAUUGGUCAAUGGACGAGAGUCUGAACCAGCCAAGUAGCGUGAAGGAUGACUGCCCUAUGGGUUGUAAACUUCUUUUAUAAAGGAAUAAAACGAGGCACGUGUGCCUUUUUGCAUGUACCUUACGAAUAAGGAUCGGCUAACUCCGUGCCAGCAGCCGCGGUAAUACGGAGGAUCCGAGCGUUAUCCGGAUUUAUUGGGUUUAAAGGGAGCGUAGAUGGGUUGUUAAGUCAGUUGUGAAAGUUCGCGGCUCAACCGUGAAAUUGCAAUUGAUACUGGCAGUCUUGAGUACAGUUGAGGUAGGCGGAAUUCGUGGUGUAGCGGUGAAAUGCUUAGAUAUCACGAAGAACCCCGAUGGCGAAGGCAGCUUACUAAACUGUGACUGACAUUGAUGCUCGAAAGUGUGGGUAGCAAACAGGAUUAGAUACCCGAGUAGUC